CCUAGUAACGGCGAGUGAAGCGGCAACAGCUCAAAUUUGAAAUCUGGCUCUUUCAGAGUCCGAGUUGUAAUUUGCAGAGGGCGCUUUGGCUUUGGCAGCGGUCCAAGUUCCUUGGAACAGGACGUCACAGAGGGUGAGAAUCCCGUACGUGGUCGCUAGCUAUUGCCGUGUAAAGCCCCUUCGACGAGUCGAGUUGUUUGGGAAUGCAGCUCUAAAUGGGAGGUAAAUUUCUUCUAAAGCUAAAUAUUGGCCAGAGACCGAUAGCGCACAAGUAGAGUGAUCGAAAGAUGAAAAGCACUUUGGAAAGAGAGUCAAACAGCACGUGAAAUUGUUGAAAGGGAAGCGCUUGCAGCCAGACUUGCUUGCAGUUGCUCAUCCGGGCUUUUGCCCGGUGCACUCUUCUGUAGGCAGGCCAGCAUCAGUUUGGGCGGUGGGAUAAAGGUCUCUGUCACGUACCUCUCUUCGGGGAGGCCUUAUAGGGGAGACGACAUACCACCAGCCUAGACUGAGGUCCGCGCAUCUGCUAGGAUGCUGGCGUAAUGGCUGUAAGCGGCCCGUCUUGAAACACGGACCAAGGAGUCUAACAUCUAUGCGAGUGUUUGGGUGUCAAGCCCGAGCGCGUAAUGAAAGUGAACGGAGGUGGGAACCCGCAAGGGUGCACCAUCGACCGAUCCUGAAGUUUACGGAAGGAUUUGAGUAAGAGCAUGGCUGUUGGGACCCGAAAGAUGGUGAACUAUGCUUGAAUAGGGUGAAGCCAGAGGAAACUCUGGUGGAGGCUCGCAGCGGUUCUGACGUGCAAAUCGAUCGUCAAAUUUGGGCAUAGGGGCGAAAGACUAAUCGAACUAUCUAGUAGCUGGUUCCUGCCGAAGUUUCCCUCAGGAUAGCAGUAACGUAUUCAGUUUUAUGAGGUAAAGCGAAUGAUUAGAGGCAUGGGGGUUGAAACAACCUUCACCUAUUCUCAAACUUUAAAUAUGUAAGAAGCCCUUUGUUACUUAAUUGAACGCGGGCAUUUGAAUGAAACGUUAUUAGUGGGCCAUUUUUGGUAAGCAGAACUGGCGAUGCGGGAUGAACCGAACGAGGGGUUACGGUGCCGGAGUACACGCUCAUCAGACACCACAAAAGGUGUUGGUUCAUCUAGACAGCAGGACGGUGGCCAUGGAAGUCGGAAUCCGCUAAGGAGUGUGUAACAACUCACCUGCCGAAUGAACUAGCCCUGAAAAUGGAUGGCGCUCAAGCGUGUCACCUAUACCCCUCCGCCGGGGCAAAAUUUACGCCCCGGCGAGUAGGCAGGCGGGAGGCUCG
rnacentral:rRNA from 1 species